rnacentral:rRNA from 1 species
UCAGAGGCGAUGAAGGACGUACUAACCUGCGAUAAGCCGUGAGCAGUCGGUAAGAGACAUUACGACUCACGGAUUUCCGAAUGGGGAAACCCACUUAGCAUAAGCUAGGUAUCGCUGCGUGAAUACAUAGCGUAGCGAGGCGAACCGGGAGAACUGAAACAUCUAAGUACCCCGAGGAAAAGAAAUCAACCGAGAUUCCCUCAGUAGCGGCGAGCGAACGGGGAUUAGCCCUU